UGAACUUGGAAUUCCCAGUAAGUGUGAGUCAUUAACUCGCAUUGAUUACGUCCCUGCCCUUUGUACACACCGCCCGUCGCACCUACCGAUCGAAGGUAAUGAUGAGCCCUCAGGACAGUCGAUUGGCGCCUUCACGGGUACCUUUUGGUUGAAAUUUGUGCAAAUCCUUACCUUUAGAGGAAGGUGAAGUCGUAACAAGGUUACCGUAGGUGAACCUGCGGUAGGAUCAUU
rnacentral:rRNA from 14 species